rnacentral:rRNA from 1 species
AUGGAGAAGGCCACGGCACCCACCGCCAAGAACCGCGAACCCGGCGGAGCCGCCGGAGGCAUUCCACGGAAGCGGGGUCAGAGUGACAACUGCUACGGCGAUAUCAUAAGCGGUCUCCCCGACGCCAUCCUGGGCACCAUCAUCUCCCUCCUCCCCACCAAGGAGGGCGCCCGCACGCAGGCCAUCUCUCGCCGGUGGCGCCACCUCUGGCGCUCCGCCCCCCUGAACCUCGAGGUCGCUCCCAGCCUCUGCGCCAACCUCAGUGAGCUCGCCUCCUUCCUCUCCAAAAUCCUCUCCGAGCACCCCGGCCCCGCACGCCGCUUCCGCUGCCCCUCCAUCCACCUCGGCGACAGCUACGCACAGGUCGACGGCUGGCUCCGCUCCCAGGCCCUCACCAACCUCCAGGAGCUCGACAUCAGAUUCGUUCGUCCGUCGCCGCGGCCCGAGACGGAUCACGCGCUGGCGUCGUCUCUGUACCGCCUGGCAUCCACCCUCGUCGUGGCCAAAAUCGGCGGCUGCAAUUUCUCCAAAGAGGUCGUGCCACUGUCGAAUUUCCCCUACCUGAAGGACCUCACACUACACUACGUUUCCUUGUCGGAGGAGUUCCUACAUGGCAUGCUCUCUAGCUGCAAGGCCUUGGAGAACCUGCUGCUCUGGAACAUCUUUGUUGUCGGCCACCUCCGCAUUAGCUCACCGACUCUUCGGCGCAUUGGCUUCUCCGUUUGUGCUGGUCACAAAGAGCUUGUCAUUGAGGAUGUGCCUCGCCUUGAAAGGUUGCUGCUACCUUCUUGGGGCAGAGGCGGUGGGACUAUUCAGUUAAUCCGGGCACCUAAACUGGAGAUGUUAGGCCCUUUGUCAGCUGGUGUUGCAGUAUUCCAGGGAACGAUGCCGAUCAGCUUGACAAACUUGAUGCACACUGUGAAGGCUUUAGCUCUCACUUCUGGCCCUCGACUGAAUGUUGUUCUUGACAUCCUCAAGUGCUUCCCCUGCUUGGAAAGGCUCUACGUUGUUCUGCAGAAAAAUUCAAAGAUGGAUGUGAAAGACGUGUCUCUAUAUGGUCCACUAGAUUCAGUCGAAUGUCUUGGGACCCAUCUCAAAGAAUUGGUGAUACUGAAUUACGAAGGCUGUGGGCAGGAUGUUGGCUUUGCCAAGUUCUUUGUUUUGAAUGCAGUGGUCCUAAAGAAAAUCAAAUUUGGAGUCCCUAAGAACAACAACGGUGACUGGGUGGCUAUUCAACUGGAUUUGCUGCAAGUGGAGAAUAGGGCUUCUCAAGAUGCUCAAUUUGAUUUCAAAUGUGGUUUGGAUGAUGUCAUUAACUACCUGCGUGUCCAUGACUUGUCAUUGACCGAUCCUUUCGACUGCUUGUUUUCUGAAUGA